rnacentral:rRNA from 1 species
CAGCAGCCGCGGUAAUACGGAGGGUCCAAGCGUUAUCCGGAUUCAUUGGGUUUAAAGGGUACGUAGGCGGAGCUUUAAGUCAGUAGUGAAAGCCCAUCGCUCAACGAUGGAACUGCUAUUGAUACUGGAACUCUUGAAUAUAGUUGAAGUAGGCGGAAUACGGCAUGUAGCGGUGAAAUGCAUAGAUAUGCCGUGGAACACCAAUCGCGAAGGCAGCUUACUAAGCUAUUAUUGACGCUAAUGUACGAAAGCGUGGGGAGCGAACAGGAUUAGAUACCCUGGUAGUCCACGCUGUAAACGAUGAUUACUCGGUGUCGGCGAUAUACUGUCGGUGCCUAAGCGAAAGUGAUAAGUAAUCCACCUGGGGAGUACGAUCGCAAGGUUGAAACUCAAAGGAAUUGACGGGGGCCCGCACAAGCGGUGGAGCAUGUGGUUUAAUUCGAUGAUACGCGAGGAACCUUACCUGGGCUUAAAUGCAUAAUGACAGGCUGAGAAAUCAGUUUUUCUUCGGACAGAAUGCAAGGUGCUGCAUGGCUGUCGUCAGCUCGUGCUGUGAGGUGUCGGGUUAAGUCCCAUAACGAGCGCAACCCCUAUUGCUAGUUGCCAGCACAUAAUGGUGGGGACUCUAGCAAAACUGCCCGCGCAAGCGGUGAGGAAGGUGGGGACGACGUCAAGUCAUCACGGCCCUUACGUCCAGGGCUACACACGUGCUACAAUGGUAGAGACAGAGGGCAGCCACUUGGUGACAAGGAGCUAAUCCUUAAACUCUAUCUCAGUUCGGAUUGAAGUCUGCAACUCGACUUCAUGAAGCUGGAAUCGCUAGUAAUCGGAUAUCAGCCGCGAUCCGGUGAAUACGUUCCCGGGCCUUGUACACACCGCCCGU